UACGUAGGGUGCAAGCGUUGUCCGGAAUUAUUGGGCGUAAAGAGCUCGUAGGCGGUUUGUCGCGUCUGCUGUGAAAACUCGGGGCUUAACUCCGGGCCUGCAGUGGGUACGGGCAGACUAGAGUGCGGUAGGGGAGACUGGAAUUCCUGGUGUAGAGGUGAAAUGCGCAGAUAUCAGGAGGAACACCGGUGGCGAAGGCGGGUCUCUGGGCCGUAACUGACGCUGAGGAGCGAAAGCGUGGGGAACGAACAGG
rnacentral:rRNA from 1 species